CCAGUGCAGUGAGGGUCUCUGUUGUCAUCUCUGCAGGAGCCACGGAAAGAGUAGUGGCAAGAUGACUUUAUUCCAGGGAGGGACGGAAAGUAAAAGGUUCUCCAGGAGCUCCCGCCGCGGCUCAGCGGUUAACGAACCCGACUGGCAUCCACGAGGACGUGGGUUCAAGCCUCACUCAGUGGGGCAUGGAUCCUGGCGGGAGCCCGUCCACUCCUACUAUGUCAACUCGGGCUACGCUCUCGCCCCCGCCACCAGCGCCAACGACAGUGAGCAGCAGAGCCUGUCCAGCGAUGCUGACAGCCUAUCCCUCACCGACAGCAGCGUGUGAGUGCCUGCCUGCAGGGGCGCCCUCGGAGCGGGUGCCUGUGCAGCCCCCAGAAGCCAGGUGGCCCUUGUUGCUGCCUCCAGGUCAGGGCUGUGCCCCCUCUGGGAGAGGGAGGCCCAGGUGGACACGGGCUGCAGAGCUGCGGGGCUGGAGCCCUGCGUCCUGGCUCUCUCUGGGGUCCCGGUGUCCCCGGGGGCCGUGUGGCUGAGCAGGGCGUCCCUCAGUCCUGCUCAGCCCUCGCCUUUAAUCUAGAGGCCGUCUCCCCGGGUGAGCAGCGCCGGCCAUCUGCCCGGUGUGGUUCUGCGUUGGCCCUCACGCCCUCGAGACAGCCACACAGAGACCCCCUGUCCCUCGGUGGCGACAGGGACCUGCUCUGUCAUCGUCUCCAGGGAAGCCCUCCCUGGGGGGAUGGUGCGGGUUUCGUGCCCCUGCCACUUUGGUUCCGCAGGUGGCUUUUGGGAUCCAGGUGCCCCUCGGAAGUUCAGUGGUCAGACAUGUCCUUGUCACAUCAGGGCGUUUCCUCUCUGCCUGCCGGGGUCUCAUGGGGCCCUGACUCGUGGCCCAUGCGUGUCAGGCGUGCCCAGUCCCAUCGGCUGAGGGAAAGGCGCCGGCCGGGCCCAGGCCUGGGGCUUGCAGCAGGCUCUGGCUCUGAAGCCAUCAGCUGUGAAGCAGUGGCCAUGUCCACAGGGGUUCUGUCGCCAUGAGAGCAUGUGGUGUUGCAGCCCCGGCCGCUGUCAGCGGGUCCUGGGGACUCGGUCCCCGCUCUGCUCAGAGUGUGGAGGUCAGAUGGCUUGAGAGGAGGAGGAGACGUCUGCUGAGCCUGCCUCUGUAGGUGGGUGGGCGUUGCUCUGCUGCCUGCUCCGCGUGCCCUCACCCUUCACGCCUCCUGUUGCCCGUGCCCUGGCAAAGCCGCGCUUGCCAGGCUGCAUCGUAGUGAUCGCAGCCCCCCCACUGCCACCCCACACCCCCAGGCUCUGGACAGCAGGACGGGGCGUCACGCGCUCUUGGGUGACCACCCAGUGCUGAUGGAUCCCGUCGGGCUGAGCCUCCGGGUGUCUCUUUCUCAUUCAUCAUUGCCGUUUGCUUUGUCUUGAAUGUUUAAUAUCAAAUGUUGGCAUGAUUUUUAACAACUUAUCUGAAAUUACCGGAGGUUCAAACCCUACCUGCCGCAGGUAGAAAGUAUCGCAUGAAAGGGUCCAGUGAGCUGCCACCCGCCCGGCCGCCCGCUGCUCCGGGAGCAGCUGACCGCACCAGACCUGUUUUCCGUCUUUCCCGAAACCGCUGCUCCAGCGACAGCUAAUCUUUUAAUUCUCUCCAAAAAAGGGACCAUCUUAGAUUUUUUUUAAUUUAAAAUUUUUUUCUCUGGUAGUCUGUUUAUCCUGGUUGAUACUGAGACACAGAAGUGUAGGAAUCGUCAAGAAUUUGGAGUGUAAAAUUCUGACAGAUACUGAAUAUGUAUGAGGCAAAAAAUAGGAUGGUGUGUUUCGUCUAAAUUGUCUCUCCUGGGGCGGCUGUACUCAGUGUCUCCUCCUGGCGGCACGCGUCCCUGUCUGCGGAUGGGACAGUGGCCGGGUUUUAAGUGCCAGCUCAGAGUUGAUGAGCCCUGAAGAAGCCCUGGGGUGCAGGCACACUUGACGGUCUUGUCCCCUAACCCUAUCCCUUCGAGCUGCUAGGCUGCUAAGCCAGCUGCCCUGUGGCACCACCUGGGGCCCUGACAGCCCGGGACACCGAGGCACACAGCCUCGCUCCGUCCUGUUCUCAACCAGGGGGCAGCCCUUCCACCCAGAACAGGGUGCAGCCCUGCCUGCCCACGAAGCCAGGGACGCGGGCCAGGACACCCCGAGAGCCACGUGCUGGGCAGCGCGUGGUUGGUGGCAGCUCUGCUGGCCGUCCGGCAGCCAGGGCAACGAGGUCAGGACCACGGUGGCUGCGUGUGCACACGUGCCGUCCAGCCAGAGCAGUGCCGAGAGGGAGCCGGGGCAGGGGGAGCCGCUGGCACAGGGCUCCCUGCCCCCACCGCAGAGCUGGGAGAUUGGGGGCUUUUGGCCGCAGGCGACGGAGAGGUGGUCGCCUGCGGGGAGACAGAAGUGGGGUCCCAGAGAGGGUGCCGCUGGCGGACCGGCUCAGGGUUGCUUUCCAAUGACGGGCGCGGGCUGUGACCAGGGAGUCGGGGGAUGGAUCCGGUCUCUCUGGAACAGGGGCCUUAGUUUCGUAAAGACAGCCUCAGCUUGAUUCAUACAUUUAAUGUAGUCCUCAAAAACGUUUAUGACUGCAGUUGCCAAGUGGUGCAGUGGUUUGGGGAUCCCACGUUCCUGCUGUGGCUCUGGUUACAGCCGUGGGUGCGGGUUUGACCCCUGACCUGGGAAAUUCUGCACGCCAUGGGCACGGCCAUUAAAAAAAGGUUCACGGAGUUCCCGUCGUGGUGCAGUGGUUAACGAAUCCAACUAGGAACCAUGAGGUUGCGGGUUCGGUCCCUGCCCUUGCUCAGUGGGUUAACGAUCCGGCGUUGCCGUGAGCUGUGGUGUAGGUUGCAGACUCGGCUCGGAUCCCCCGUUGCUGUGGCUCUGGCGUAGGCCGGUGGCUACAGCUCCGAUUCGACCCCUAGCCUGGGAACCUCCACAUGCCGCGGGAACGGCCCAAGAAAUAGCAACAACAACAACAAAA
ensembl:lncRNA